GUGCAGCAGUCGAGAACCUCUACAAUGUGCGAAAGCAUGAUAGGGGACUCCAAGUGUCUCUCUAAAGAGAGACUUUGUAGUAUGUAAAAGUACUACGAAUAAGGGUGGUCAAGACUAGUGCCAGCCUCCGCGGUAACACUAGCAGCCCGAGUGGUAGUCAUUUUAUUUGGCUUAAAGCGUCCGUAGUCUGAUUAGUAAGUUCUCUGUGAAAUCCUGUUGCUUAACAAUAGGGCUUGCAGAGAAUACUACCAAUCUUGGAGCCAGGAGGGGUUAGGGUAGUUCCGGGGUAGCGGUGAAAUGCUAUAAUCCCCGGAGGACCACCAAUGGCGAAGGCACCUAACUGGAAUGGGCUCGACGAUGAGGGACGAAAGCUAGGGGAGCAAACCGGAUUAGAUACCCGUGUAGU
rnacentral:rRNA from 1 species